rnacentral:piRNA from 1 species
UAGACUUCAUCAGCAUCUGUGGGUCA